UAAUGAUUUGAAAGGGAUCCGGAUUUUAUUCCAGGUACUUCUGGAAACCUCUGGAGAGUUCUUUAGAUGAGUCAAGGCUCCAAGUCAUCUGAGGAAAGCAGAAGUCUGUUAGAAGUCUGAAUAGGAGAGUCCCAGAAUAGAAGAAGCCAAGGAUUGAAGCAAGAGAGAUCAGAUAGACCAGCUAGGCAAGAAGUGGAAGAUGAACUUGGACAUGAGAGGAUGAGAACCUUUGGUUCAACAGUGGGAGGAAAAAGGAUCUUCCAUCAGGAGGAUCAGGGAGCUGGCAGCAAGCAGCCUCAGGGCUGUGCUUCAGCAAUGAAGGACCAGUUCUCCUGCCCAUUCCCAUCACCUCUACAUCAUCUAUGGACAACACCCAUUCAAUGAUCUGGCCCCUAGACUAAGCUUCCAGAAGGAAGGUGGAUGGACAGCUUCUGUGGCAAUGACCCCUUUCAUAGAGGCACUGGCUAGGAUCAGUGGACCCCAUGAGUCAUGGCUGUGGUAGACACAUCAUUUCUGUUACAUAGGCAUUAGGGC
ensembl:lncRNA